rnacentral:tRNA from 1 species
UCCUUGGUGGCUUAGAUGGUAAAGAGUCUGUCUGCAAUGCAGGAGACCUAGGUUUGAUCCCUGGGUCGGGAA